GGCCUAACACAUGCAAGUCGAGCGAACCUAGCUUGCUAGGUGAGCGGCGAACGGGUGAGUAACGCGUAGGAAUCUGCCCAAUAGUGGGGGACAACGUUCCGAAAGGGACGCUAAUACCGCAUACGCCCUACGGGGGAAAGCAGGGGAUCUUCGGACCUUGCGCUAUUGGAUGAGCCUGCGUCGGAUUAGCUAGCUGGCGGGGUAAAGGCCCACCAAGGCGACGAGCCGUAGCUGGUCUGAGAGGAUGAUCAGCCACACCGGAACUGAGACACGGUCCGGACUCCUACGGGAGGCAGCAGUGGGGAAUAUUGGACAAUGGGGGCAACCCUGAUCCAGCCAUGCCGCGUGUGUGAAGAAGGCCUUCGGGUUGUAAAGCA
rnacentral:rRNA from 1 species